AACUUUACAAUGCGGGAAACCGUGAUAAGGGGACACCGAGUGCUAGCAUCAUAUGCUGGCUGUCCAGGUGUACACCUGUAGCAAGGGCCGGCAAGACCGGUGCCAGCCGCCGCGGUAACACCGGCGGCCCGAGUGGUGAUCGUGAUUAUUGGGUCUAAAGGGUCCGUAGCCGGUUUGGUCAGUCCUCCGGGAAAUCUAAUAGCUCAACUAUUAGGCUUCGGGGGAUACUGCCAGACUUGGAACCGGGAGAGGUAAGAGGUACUACGGGGGUAGGAUAGAAAUCUAGAACUCCCUGUCGGACCACCUGUGGGCGAAGGCUCUUACCAGAACGGUUCGACGGUGAGGGACGAAAGCGGGGGGCACGAACCGG
rnacentral:rRNA from 1 species